UGGUGGUGGUGGUGGUGGUGGUGGUGGUGGUGGUGGUGGUGGUGAUCGUCGUCGUCAUCGUCGUCAUCAUCAUCAUCAUCAUCAUCAUCAUCAUCA
rnacentral:pre_miRNA from 1 species